rnacentral:pre_miRNA from 1 species
CUGUGCCGCGAUCUCCCCGGUCGGGAGGCCGCGGGCGAUGAACUGGGUGACCUCGGUCUCCCGGUCGGUGAGUUCGUACGCGUCCA